rnacentral:tRNA from 1 species
ACGUGGGUGGCCAAGCGGCAAAGGCGGAUGUCUUAAAAUCAUCUACUAUAGGGUUCCUAUCGUGAGUUCGAGUCUCACCCCACGUA